rnacentral:rRNA from 1 species
ACGGGAGGCAGCAGUGGGGAAUAUUGGGCAAUGGGCGCAAGCCUGACCCAGCAACGCCGCGUGAAGGAAGAAGGCUUUCGGGUUGUAAACUUCUUUUAAGGGGGAAGAGCAGAAGACGGUACCCCUAGAAUAAGCCACGGCUAACUACGGGCCAGCAGCCGCGGUAAUACGUAGGUGGCAAGCGUUGUCCGGAUUUACUGGGUGUAAAGGGCGUGCAGCCGGGAAGGCAAGUCAGAUGUGAAAUCCACGGGCUUAACUCGUGAACUGCAUUUGAAACUGUUUUUCUUGAGUGUCGGAGGGGCAAUCGGAAUUCCUAGUGUAGCGGUGAAAUGCGUAGAUAUUAGGAGGAACACCAGUGGCGAAGGCGGAUUGCUGGACGAUAACUGACGGUGAGGCGCGAAAGUGUGGGGAGCAAACA